CGGGGACCAAUCAGCAUGCGCGCCCGGCGUGGACGAGCCCCCCUCUCUGCACCCAAUCACCUGCGACCGCGCCCUACAAAACAUCCGGCCAGCGCCACCCAAACCCCCAGGUAAGUGAGCACUCGGCCGGAGGCUCUGCCCGUCUGCUGAGUGGCAUUGCCCCUUUGAAAACCGAAACGGGCUGAGGGCAUUCACAUUGGCAGGCGCAGAAUGCACUCCGGGGACUUUGCGAAAAACUGGGGGAACUUCGCAUAAAGGGGAAGAGGUGCAAAUGUCUGCCUAACUCUCUUUCUACCGUGAUAGAAAGAAUGACUCCACAGCUAACUGAUGCAUGCUAGUUGCUUCUAACUAAGCACAAACAAACUAACCCUUCCGUGGCAGAAGGGAAUGACACUUUGCAAAUUAACCGCAUGCUCUCCCGUUUCCUUGCAGGUGCCCUGACUCUGGCGCUCCCACCUGGUGAUGACCGACGGAGCGCUGACAGGCACAUCCAGGGCAUGGCUGCUCCCCCGCGCCCCGCCCUCCCCAAACAUCUCUGACGGACGGUUGGCUGCAGCCCAGGAAGCACCGUCGCGCCGCGGCCUGCAUCCCAGCCCCGCCCCUCCGAGCGGGAAGGAGGGCUGUGUGGAAUGCUCCAGCUCCCUCGCCAGCCUAAACGCAAGCCCGCUCUUUCCAGUGCAAUAAAACGAGAUGUACAACAA